UGUCUUAGCUUAAUCCCCAUGUCUUUUUUUCCCCUGCCAGUCUCCUGCUGAGCUCUGGGCAUGCUUGAGGACAUCCAGUGCUCCUUCCCAAUGCAAUUGCAGCUGCUCCAGUGCAGGUAACAAAACCAUCCAGAGAAGAGAAUUCCAAAGAACUCUCCAAGAAGUUUCCUUAAUGGUGCUGACAUGUUUUACUCAAUGGAGAAGAUCUCUUCCUGAGAGCUGCUGGCCCUUUAUCCAAGAUCCUUGGCAGGUUGAUGGGGACAGGAGACUUCUGCUUUAUCCCCUGGAGCCCUGACAAUUUGAGAUGUUGCCUGGCUCAGCUCCUAGAUGUGAGAGGAAGGAAUAACUUGCACAUAUCCCCAGUGAUUUCCUGAUGUUCACUGGUGGAGAAUAGACAUGAUUCACUCCAGAAGGUACGGCUGAGUGCUCCGAGGGAUCUUUCUGCUAAGCAAGGUUGGUAGCAUCAGCUCCCACAAAGCUCCC
rnacentral:lncRNA from 14 species